AGUAUGAGUCUUGGAACCCGGUGGGAAACCUCUUCCUAGUCCUACAGGCCGGAUGCGCCUUCUGAGUUUUCAUAUUAUCUCUCCACCCCCAACCUCCCCCUCCUUUGGUUGUAUGUUUCUCACAAUGAAUUGGUUGUUGGAAACUGGCUUUGUAAUAAUUCCAAAUGCCACUGUGAAGAUUUUUAAUAGCCUUUAAAAUUUUUAAUUGGCUGAGCUGUAGUGUUAUUGAUAUAUUUUUGUAUAAAUGUUAUUAUUAACAAGUUAAUUCAUAUAAAGGGCUUGGAACUAUACCUGGCAUAUAAGUACAUGUUUAAUAAAGAUUAACUUAUUUCUGCCGGGUGUGGUGGCUCACGCCUGUAAUCCCAACACUUUGGGAGGCCGAGGUGGGCAGAUCACUUGAGGUCAGGAGUUUGAGACCAACCUGGGCCAACAUGGUGAAACCCUGUCUUUACUAAAAAUACAAAAAUUAGCCUGAUGUGCUUGCUUGAACUUAGGAGGCGGAGGUUGCAGUGAGCCGACAUCAUGCCACUGCACUCCAGCCUGGGCAACAGAGUGAGACUCUUGUCUCAAAAAAAAAAAAAAAAAGAAAAAAAAAGAAAAAGAUUAACAGUAUUUCUAAUGGUAUUAGAAUUGUUUUAUUUUAUUUUUUGUUUUUGAGACAGGGUCUCGCUGUGUCACCCAGGCUGGAGUGCAGUGGUGGGAUCAUGCCUCACUGUAGCUAGCCUUGAACUCCUGGACUCAAGUGAUCCUCCCACCUCAACCUCCUGAGUAGCUGGGACUAGAGGUGCAUUCUACCAUGCCUGGCUAAUUUUAAAAAAUGUUUUUGUAGAAAUGGGGUCUUGCUGUGUUGCCCAGGCUGGUCUGGAACUCCUGGGCUCAAGUGAUCCUCCUGCCUUGGCCUCCCAAAGUGUUAGGAUUACAGGUGUAUGCCACCAUGCUCAUCCAGCAUUCUUAAUUAAAAUAAUUUGGUAGGAGAUUUUAUGAAGGCAGUAUGUUCAGUAGAAAGGUUUGGGGAUCCAGAAUUGGGAGACUAUUUUAAUUUUGGAUCUGUUAUUUACUAGCUCUGGGAGCUUGAGCAGGUUCCUUACUUAAGUUCCUUGAGUAACAGUUUCUUGAUCUUUAAAACAUUAUAGAGGGGUUAAAUCAGAUAAUGUAUGUGGAAUGUAUUCCUAGAUUAUAGAUUAUUACAUAAUUGUAAGUGUGGUAGCAAUCACAGGUGUGUUUAGAGACUACUAAAAAAUGGUUUUCUCUUUUAAUCUUGUCUGAUGUAAAUUAAUGACACAUUCUCAGUCGACUGUAGUAUUGACACUUGAUAAACAGUUUUUGAAAAUGAAUUUAUUCUCCAUCUCUUCUAUGUCUGCUUUUAUCUGCAAAGUCGUGAUUUGUGUUUGGGGACUUGAACAAUUGAUAGCUAAGCAUCAACUUUAAAUUGCUUUAUGAAUUGAUGAUUGUGUUUAUGAAGCACUGGUGAUUUGGGGGAAGAUGACAUUUUAGCUUACUGUUGGAUGCAUCAGGGAACUUGAGUUAAUUUAGCUUUAAGCCUUCCAGAUUAUCCUGCCUAUGAGCUUCACAAGGGCAGACCACAUCUCUAGUUUUCACCAUGAUAUUUUCAGUGCUAUCUUGGUGCCUGGCACAGAGGACAGAGGGAGUCCCAAUUAUAUUUGUUAAUUGACCACCUGGUUUUCAUCUGAUCAGACUUGUGUCAGAAUUAUAAUCAAGGAAAAGUUGGGCAAAGGCACUAAAAUGAGUUUCUUUUGGUUUCAGAGGGAGUAAUAAUAAAACAACAGUAAUAGCUUAUGUAUUCAUGUGGAAAUAGGACAUUUAGGUGAAAAGUACGUUGGGCCAGGGGUAUGGAGAUCUAGCUCCUAGGACUGGUCCUUUAUUAAAUAGCAGAGAUAACUUUGGGAGAGUUACUUAACCAUUUUUGGCUUCAGUUUCUUCCUCAAAGGCCCUGUCCAGCUGUGUGGCAAAUGGUUAGUUUAUUCUGGAGCAGAAUUACUGAUUGGAGGGAAAGUAACAGCAAUAGGAUUUGAGAGGGCUUCACAAAUGUUUUGAGAUGCCAAAUGAAUUAGUUUAGAAACAGCUAUAUUAGGUCAUAUCUGCUUGGAUAGGGAGAACCCAAGUGAGUUGAGUCAUGGGUGUUUGAGAAAUGAAUAGAAUAUGUAGAAUUAUUUCUUUUCCAAAAGAGGGAAUGUCUUGGGAAAGAAAUCAAAGGGAACCUGGGUGAUAUCUUUGAUUCAUCCCCUAUCUAGUGCCAACAAGAACAAGUUUCUUUCUUUCUUUUCCUUUUUCUAAGAAUGGAUUUCAUGUAAGCCAAAAGAACACUUGAUUGUUCUGAACUUGUAUAUAUUGCAGGAGUUAUAAAUAUAAUAUCAAGAACUAUUUAAUAAGAGCCCACCAGCAGUUCCACGUUCCUCAAAACCAGGACAGGAUGAAUGUAUGAGAAUCAUCUUCUUACUGAGAAUGGUAGGACAGAAGGGAUAGUUUAGCCACUAUACUUCCUGGAAGAAUCAGUACUUGAGGGUUGCUGCAGCUUUUUGGGAUUGAAGGAGUAUGUUCAUUUCCUUUGGAAGAUUAAUUUUUUCCUUUUUUUUGACAUGGAGUCUCUCUCUGUCGCCCAGGUGGAGGUUGCAGUGAGCUGAGAUUGUGCCACUACUCCAGCCUGGGUGACAGAGCAAGACUCCAUCUCAAAAAAAAAAAAAAA
rnacentral:lncRNA from 1 species